ncrna:unclassified sequences GEBRO RNA
CGUUCCGUUCUCGGCGGAGAAUGUUGUCAAGGGUCAGAUAAAAUAAUUUCAUUUGAGAUGACACACUCCAGGCGUGAAAGACCGCUGACAAAAGUGUCCGCACCCCCUAACGGGUUACAAAUAGGGGAAGGCGAAAGUAGGUAAAGUGACACCCCAUGACCUUCAAAAUGAACCCCCCGAAAGGGUUCGGGCUAAGUCCUUUUUAGGAUAUGCCACAACGGGGCAAGAGUUGGCUGACAGUGACAUGAAGAGGACACGGACAGACCCCGAAAGGGGAGCAAGUAGGGCAUGCAGACGCUUGUAGAAAGUUCGUUCAAAACUUGAAAUAGUUUUGGAGUUGUAACCC